CGUGUCUAUGAUACCUCACUCCACCGAAAGGUAGAUAGAUAGAGAGCUUCAGUUUGAGAGAGAAAUAGCGCGAGAGAAAGAGAGAGCGAGAGAGAGAGAACUGGAGGCUGCGUUCUAACCUGGGUUUGGAUUUUGUGGAUUUCUUUUCAGCAAAAGUAAGAGAAGAGUUGGGUUUCUUUUCUUGGGGUCCAUCCAUUUGCAAUUGUCAUGACUCAUUACUGAAACAGAAAGAGGAAGAGAAUAGGAGUUUAUGGUUGUGAAAUUGGGUUUGUCAGAGGGUUGGGUGUAUGUGAUUAGUGAGGCUGUUUCUUAGUGGUGCUUCAUCAAGGGAGGCUCGACUUCAAAGCUGGUUAUCAGAAGUUCUUUAAGGUUUCACAUGCUACUGUUGUAAGAAAUUGGUCUGCAAGGUCUGAAGAGAAGGAGAAGGUUGAAUCUGUAAAUCAAGAUAUCAGUAACAGCGAGCUAUCAAAAUUUGCAAGUAUUUUGAAUUGAGGAAAAUUUGGGUACAGCAAGAAGGAAGAUCUGGAAUUACUAUUAUUUUACAGUAAUCAGGAAACUGGGAAAGGAGAUGAAAUAGCUUCUGACCUUAACAGUAACACAGCAUAUAAAGAGCAAGCAAAGGCAAAGAUCAUUUUGCCUUACUGGGGAAAGUUAUGGAAGUAAGGGAGAAGUCAGUCAAUGCAACAGAGAAGUCAGCAGAAGAGCGAAAAUCACAAACCUAGAGGCAGCUAGAGGAACAAUUGGAAAGAGGAUAGUAUCUGGAUUAACUCGAAAAUUCCAUUUAACAGCAUGAGAAGCAUGCUAAGGCGUUGCAGAAGCUGUUAGAAGAGAGGAAGAAGCAUUUGGAAUCGGUUUCCAAGAGAGCAAGCUUGAACAUGAUGUCAGACAAAUUGAAUUGCAGCUAUUGGAGAAUGACGCUCCUGCUGUUAAUGAUACAGGCUUGCAGCUGAAAAUGAGUGAGCAAUUCAUGAAGAAAGGCAAUUAUUUUGAGCAGCAGAUGAAUGACAACCAAAAAGAUGAAGUGAUUUGCGAGAGAAGCAAAAAGAUGAAGUGGUCUGCCAGUGAUAUGGUCUGGUCAUUAUUUUGUUUCUUUCCUCUUCAAUUUUUCAUCUUCGUUUAUAGUAUUUAUAAUUGAAUAUGCAUUUGUAGCCAAAAUAAUGAACAUCAGUUGUGUUUGUUUAAAAUCUGUAGAGUAUGAUUUGAAGUUAUUUGUUGUGGUCAAAAUUUUGGGUAACAUGCUUCAAUCCUGUGGCUGGAGAAAUCAAAAGGGGCGUGUAAUCUCCAAGAUUACUGUAAGGACAGCUACACUAGAAUGAGCCUGAGAUUCAAUUAGGACAUAACUUCAAUCUGUGUUUUGACCAAUUGAAUUUCAGGCUCAUUGUUUUGUAUUUGUCUUUACAGUAUCCUUUGAGAUUAGAUACCCCUUUUGAAUUCUCCAGCUACUGGAUUGAAGCAUGUUAGCCAAAAUCUUCCCCGGCAACUAAGAAUUUCAAAUUAAACCCAGUUUGCAAUUUUCAUGUAAAUAUAGAUGGAGGAAAUACCUUUUUGAACAACCUCCACAACUAAUUAGCACCUUUUUGGCUAGGCUAACAAGUCUUCAACAACUGCUGUCACUUUUGCUAUAAAUAUAACUGGAGGAAGCACCAUUUUGAAGAACCUCCGCUGACAUGUAGUGACGAACAUCAACACCUCUUUUCAGCAAACAGAUCAAAUGUAGCUAGGUUAGCCUAGAAAUAGAACAAUAUAUUUUUGACAAGCUAUGUCAACAACAGUUGUAU